AUAAGAAUAUGACCGUGCUUAGAAUCGCGGUGAAAAUUGGACAAGUCAAGACUAACUUGUCAGUAAACUAUAUAUGGCUCUAUCAUAUUUAGUUUGGCAAAAUCAUCAGUACAUGUAAAUAAAAUAUAGUUAAAGACAAAAUCUGAUACAUAUGUCUCAUUAGAACUUGUUUAAUGUCAUUAGACAUUUGUAAACAAACGGUCGGCCAUUUUUUUUUUGGUUAAUCACGUGUUACAAAAACAAUUGUAACAAACACACGCCAAUACUUUGUCGUAUUUAACCAGGAAAUACUGACUCCGACAGUUCUUAUUAAAAAUAAAUAUACAUGUAAAAAGUAUACUAUUCGGUAAAAAAUGAUAAUUUUGAUUAAACAUUAUUUAUUUUAAACUAUCCCAAGAUGCACUUUUCCAAGAUUUAGCGGGUUCUGAUUGGUCAGUAUUGGCGCACUUUAUGAUUCCGAGCGAAGGUUAAAAUGGACAAGAAGGUGCUGUUGUAAAAUUGAGAAUUGAGAAGCAUUAAUUGCCUCUACAACAAGGAGAUAAUGCAGGAACGAAGAACUCAUGUCAAGCAUUGACAGCAUACAAAGUCAAUGUUUCCGGUGAUUAGUUGCAUCCUCUGUUCGGUGAUUCGGAUGAAUAUUUUGACCAGCUGGACGAUGUGAACGCAAGAUAAAUAGAACAGACAUAAAGUACAGCCCAGUGAGAGGAACAAGUUAAUCGCCAGAAGAAGAAUUUUAAUGCUACCACUGUCCAGAACUACUAAGUCUGCUGUAGCCAUGAUGUGAUCAUAUGAGUGCUUCACCGGUCUGGACAAUGCUCGAAAGUCCCCCAAAAAGGCCUAUUUCCAUAAACUACGACUCGGGUUACAUGAACAACAGCCAAGGACACUCCUUAAUGAUUCGAAUGGAGACAUCUCUACGUCCCGACUAAACCUCUGCAGAACAAGACUUUUUAACUGUACAGUAUUCUCAUUUCAAAAAACCUAUAAACUAUAAAAGUACUUUUUUAUAUGAUCAAAUACAAGUAUAUUACAAUGUCUGUCUGUAAGCUAGAAUCUUAGAAAAUCACAUGGUUUUGACUUAUUAAAUGAUUGAUUAGACCUUGCAGAUAUUAACUUUCAUUUUCUUAAAUAAUUUGUUAUACAUGUAUUUGCAAAUAUUGCAUAAAAUAUUAGACUCCAUGUAACAUAUAUCCCCACACCUCCAAAUUGAUAAGUGUGAACUAC